AACGAACGCUGGCGGUGCGUCUUAAGCAUGCAAGUCGAGCGGCAAGGAAGUGCUUGCACUUCCCUAGAGCGGCGGACUGGUGAGUAACGCGUGGGUGAUCUGCCUGUAGGUUGGGGAUAGCCGAUAGAAAUAUCGGGUAAUACCGAAUAUGGUUACGAUACUGUGGUAUUGUAAAGAAAGGAGCUACGGCUCCGCCUGGAGAUGAGCCCGCGUCCCAUUAGCUGGUUGGUGAGGUAAGAGCCCACCAAGGCGAUGAUGGGUAGCCGGCCUGAGAGGGUGAACGGCCACACUGGGACUGAGAUACGGCCCAGACUCCUACGGGAGGCAGCAGCUAAGAAUAUUCCGCAAUGGACGAAAGUCUGACGGAGCGACACCGCGUGGAUGACGAAGGCCGAAAGGUUGUAAAAUUCUUUUGUUGAUGAAGAAUAAGCAGGGGAGGGAAUGCUCCUGUGAUGACGUUAGUCGACGAAUAAGCCCCGGCUAAUUACGUGCCAGCAGCCGCGGUAACACGUAAGGGGCGAGCGUUGUUCGGAAUUAUUGGGCGUAAAGGGCGCGUAGGCGGUUACUCAAGCUUGGCGUGAAAUGGCAGGGCUUAACCCUGUCACUGCGUUGAGAACUGAGAGACUAGAGUCAUGGAGGGGAAAUUGGAAUUCCUAGUGUAGGGGUGAAAUCUGUAGAUAUUAGGAAGAACACCAGUGGCGAAGGCGAAUUUCUAGCCAAUGACUGACGCUGAGGCGCGAAAGUGCGGGGAGCAAACAGGAUUAGAUACCCUGGUAGUCCGCACAAUAAACGAUGUACACUAGGUGUUGGACCGAGCGGUUCAGUGCCGAAGCAAACGUGAUAAGUGUACCGCCUGGGGAGUAUGGCCGCAAGGGUGAAACUCAAAUGAAUUGACGG
rnacentral:rRNA from 1 species